rnacentral:lncRNA from 1 species
GGGGGUUACCUUGUCUUCAACAUUGAAAUUGUAUCCCCUGAACUGAGGCCAUACAUUAUGCAGGAGAGGAGUGGGUGGGGGUGCAGUGCUUGAUGAGCAUAUGUAUUCUAUAGCAGUUAACAGAAGGGGGACUAGGGAGGAGAGGAGGGGGCUUUGAGAGGGUAGAUAGACUGUACAAGAUUUUAAGGUGAAGAAAGAGUGACUUUGAUGGAGGAUUUUUGCAUUGAGCUCUCUCAUAUCAAGAAGACAAAUGAUAGGAUACAGCUAAUUGUCAAGCAUGGACCAUGUGGCUUCAUGAAUCUAGUAUUGCCCCCUUUCCAUGCCUGUGGGUCAAUUAACUUACAAAAAAGUGAUUUGUCCUUGAUUUUAUUCUCUCAAAAGCUUGAAGGGUUGUUUGUUUGAUACCAGUUGACAAAAUUGAGGUGGUGGCUGGUAUUAAGGCCAAAAUUGUACCCUCAAUCAAGCUCUUUAGUGUGAUUUGAUCAGGUGGGGAUUGA